rnacentral:rRNA from 1 species
UACAGAGGUCCCGAGCGUUGUUCGGAUUCACUGGGCGUAAAGGGUGCGUAGGCGGCUUUGCAAGUCUGAUGUGAAAUCUCCGGGCCCAACCCGGAAAUGGCAUUAGAAACUGUGAGGCUGGAGGCUUGGAGGGGGAACUGGAAUACUUGGCGUAGCAGUGAAAUGCGUAGAUAUCAAGUGGAACACCGGUGGCGAAGGCGAGUUCCUGGACAAGACCUGACGCUGAGGCACGAAAGCCGGGGGAGCAAACAGG